rnacentral:rRNA from 1 species
GAUGAACGCUGGCGGUGUGCCUAAUACAUGCAAGUCGAACGGGCUCUUCGGAGCUAGUGGCGGACGGGUGAGUAACACGUUGGUACCUACCCCGAAGUGGGGAAGUAACUGCCCGAAACGGGUGGCUAAUACCGCAUAAUCCCGCAAGGGUAAAGCAGUAAUGCGCUUCGGGAGGGGCCGUGCGUCUGAUUAGCUAGUUGGUGAGGUAAUUGCUCACCAAGGCUACGAUCAGUAGCGGAUCGAGAGGUUGACCAGCCACACUGGGACUGAGAUACGGCCCAGACUCCUACGGGAGGCAGCAGUGGGGAAUC